rnacentral:rRNA from 1 species
GCGAGCGCUGGCGGCAGGCCUAAUACAUGCAAGUCGAACGGCUCUUCGGAGCAGUGGCGGACGGGCGAGUAACGCGUGGGAAUGUGCCCUUUGGUACGGAACAACACAGGGAAACUUGUGCUAAUACCGUAUGUGCCCUUCGGGGGAAAGAUUUAUCGCCAUUGGAGCAGCCCGCGUUGGAUUAGGUAGUUGGUGAGGUAAAGGCUCACCAAGCCUACGAUCCAUAGCUGGUCUGAGAGGAUGACCAGCCACACUGGGACUGAGACACGGCCCAGACUCCUACGGGAGGCAGCAGUAGGGAAUCUUGCGCAAUGGGCGAAAGCCUGACGCAGCCAUGCCGCGUGUAUGAUGAAGGUCUUAGGAUUGUAAAAUACUUUCACCGGGGAAGAUAAUGACGGUACCCGGAGAAGAAGCCCCGGCUAACUUCGUGCCAGCCGCCGCCGUAAUAC